rnacentral:rRNA from 1 species
UACGAAGGGUGCAAGCGUUACUCGGAAUUACUGGGCGUAAAGCGUGCGUAGGUGGUCGUUUAAGUCCGUUGUGAAAGCCCUGGGCUCAACCUGGGAACUGCAGUGGAUACUGGGCGACUAGAGUGUGGUAGAGGGUAGCGGAAUUCCUGGUGUAGCAGUGAAAUGCGUAGAGAUCAGGAGGAACAUCCAUGGCGAAGGCAGCUACCUGGACCAACACUGACACUGAGGCACGAAAGCGUGGGGAGCAAAC